GGUGGGGUAGCUCAGAUGGUAGAGCAUGAAACUCUUCAUCUCAGGGUUGUGGGUUUGAGCCCCAUGUUGGGUG
rnacentral:tRNA from 1 species